CGAGCCUUCGUCAAGACACGACACUGUUCGUGCCGUGCCCUUCUUAACUCGUGACAGGAGUUUACAACCCGAAGGCCUUCAUCCUCCACGCGGCGUCGCUCCGUCAGACUUGCGUCCAUUGCGGAAGAUUCUC
rnacentral:rRNA from 1 species